UGGGCGUUCGGCAGAAACCGAUCAAACCGAACCGAGAAACCCAAAAUUUUCGGUUAUCGGCGUCGACUAUGUGAUGAGGAGUAAACCGAUCGGCAAAGUUUUUUUUGGAUUUCGGGUAACGGUUCGGUUCGGUUCGGCAGGCUAUAACCGAUCGGUUAUUCGGUUUUUGUUCUACAUCACUCCAUCUUCUUCUUUCCUAGUCUGCUUCUGUGUGUUCUUAUGAAGAAGAAGAAGUUGCGGCCGCCAUGAUUAAUCCCUCACCAUCGAUUAGGUUCUUUACUUUGUUUGAAAUUGGGCUGAUUUACAUGUGGAUUCAAAUUAUUUUAUAUUAAGCCCAAACAAAUGUGUUAGCCUUGAUAAGUCAAAAAUAAAAGACAUGUGGCCCAAUAAUGUUUUAUACUCAGCCCAAAACGACAUAAAGUCAUUUUUUAUGCUUAACCCUAGAUAAAAAAAAUAUGAUUGCUUCUCUUCAACCUCCGUGCAUCUCUCUCUCGCCAGUUCUUUCUCUCCUCUUCAAAAUUCGAAACAAAACAUCGAAUAAUCAUAUCAUCUCGUCUCUUCGCCGGUUCUACCUCUUGAUCUUUUCCAGCUUGUACUUCUUCGUCCGCUAGAUUACAAUAUUGUCGGAAGUCUCAUCGGACGAGGAGAUCCAACAGUCGCCGUUGCCAUUGACGUCUCCUCGCAGCCUCGCCGUCAGCCACUUCAUGGAAAACCCUAAUUGUAAUGGGUUUGGGCUUUAAUCCAUAGUUAUGUGAUGAGUUUGGUUUUGUAAUUGUAAUUGGUUUUUUUUAUUGGUUUGUUACUAGAUUACAGAUUUUUUUGGGCCCAUUAUCUGUAUUUAGGGCUAAUUCGGUUUAAAUAAACCGAAAUAGAAAAAAAAUCGGUUUAAUUCGGAA